AGUUUUUCCGCUACCAACCUCAGAUGCUAGAUAUGCUGUGGCAAUGUCUCAGACAGCCACAGAGAGAGAGUGAGGUACUGCAUGUGUGCUAAUGAACAAGAAGAGAACUACAGGAACUGACAGUUGGAGGAGUGUGAACCAUAUUCACGAACACUCACACUUUCACACGCUAAACUACAAUGCAUCAAGCAACAGACUACACUCUCCUGGGAGCAUCAGGAGGGACAUCACCACCUGCACUGCCCAUCAAACAGCGCAGGAGCAGGUCUUCUUCAAGCUCCAUCCAAGAUCUAGAGCUGAAGAUGGGAGAUCUACACUUGCCUGGACCUCAGACCCCAGUGUCUCCAUUUAGUGAAGUAUUCACUCCUACUUACUGUAAUGCAGUCCACUGUCCAAUACAUCAUCGCUACGAAAAUCACCAGGUGAGAUUCUUCUCACAUGAAAUUCCUCCUCCAGUACCCAAAAAGAGUCUGACGAGAACCCUAUCCCUUCCAGCGGAGACUCUGGACCCACCUUACCAUGAUCAUACAAGAACCUGCAACUAUGAAAAUCCCCUAUACAUGAUAGCACCAUUCCAUGACACACUUAAACUACAAGAGGAAGAGGUACAAGUGGAGGAAUAUCAGGGUUUGUCCAUGCACAAGGUGACCUUUGAUACACCAGAUGAGCAACUUCAAAGUGUCUUCAGAAGCUUCCACAGCCAUGAGCAAUUUCCCAUGGGCAUCCAAGAAUGUUAUCUUCAGUUUCUCAAGAACACGUUGCAGAGCAUUGAAUCGAGCCUCUUCCUAAAUGAACAGGAAAUGGAGAUAGCAAAGACUUCUCAGCCUAAUGACUUUAUUUUGUGUGAGCAGCAGUGGACUGAGAUGGAUGCUUUCUACUUGGUGUGUUGUCUGAAGGUUCCUGGGAAACUGUUUUCAGCAAAGGUUCACAAAGGGGAUUCAGUAUCAGACUGCACCAUGUCUAUGCCACAUCCUAACGUUGAGCAAGGCUUGGUCCAUUUUCCACAAUGUACAGCUACAGAUCAAACUUCCAUCUCACAGCAUGUUCAGACAACUCCAGAGCCUUCACAUGGGGACACCACUGAAGUAUGCCAACAGAAAACAGUUGCUGAUCUUCUGGAGAAUGGUGUUAGUGUGACUGUGGUAAGAGACUUUCCAUUGGGAACACUGGAGGACUUUGUUGAGGAAGGACACUCUUUGCACUCCACCCUUCCUGAGGUUUAUGAGAGGAGGCUUUGUCUUCUUGCCCUCCAGUUGGUACUAGGACUACAGCAACCGGGACGUUUUAAAGUCAUUCACAGGGAACUGAAACCACAGAGUAUUACAUUAGUGUGGCCUAGUAUCAUGCGCAAAGUGGCUGACUCUAGGGAUUACCCUAGUAAGAUGAAAAAGGGAAGCAUGAAUACAGACACUUCUACAGGUACACCUGUGAUCACAGUAUCCACAGAGCAAACAGACAACGAGAGAACGAAAACCUUAUGGGAGAAGUGGGGCACCCCUCGUUUGGUCCUGAAGAGCCAUUUUGAGGAUGAAGUUUUGCAAGAAGCACCAUCCCAAGAGUUCCAGUUGGGGACUUUGCUGAGGUACUGCCUACAUCUCACCGACAGUUGCUCAUCUGUGUGGAAGGUGCCACAAGAC
ensembl:lncRNA tyrosine-protein kinase SgK223-like